GUCUAUAUAACAUAGAAAAGCAGGAUGCCCAUGACGUGUACGUAUGGGAUGAACCAAAUCCUCAUUAAAUUUGAUUUUUCCAUUAGAGGGGGCUCGUACAUGUUCUGCAGUACCCCCUGUGAAUACUCCGCCGGUAUGAAACGUUCUUAAUGUUAGUUGAGUACCCGGCUCUCCAAUGGAUUGACCCGCAAUAAUACCUACGGCUUCCCCCAAUUCUACUAGAUCGCCAUGAGUAGGACUCCGACCAUAACAUAAUCGACAGAUCCAAGACGUACUCCUACAAGUAAAGGGAGUUCGAAUAGAUAUUGUUUGUGUUCGAAAGGUUAUGAAUCGAUUGGCAAGCCCAAUCCCAAUAUCUUGAUUUCGAAUGGCAAUGCAUCGUAGACCCAUAUAUAUAUUGUCUGCUAAUACACGACCAAUGAAUGUUUGAAUAAAAAUUCUUUCCGGCAUCAUCCCAUUUCGAGGACUCACAGAGAUCCCUCGGGCGGUCCCACAAUCUGUUCUACGUACAACAAUGUGUUGAACUACUUCAACAAGUCUACGCGUAAGAUAUCCAGCAUCUGAUGUUCGUACAGCAGUAUCGACAACCCCUUUUCGGGCUCCAUAGCAAGAAAUGAUAUAUUCUGUUAAAGACAGUCCCUCGCGUAAAUUGCUUUGAAUGGGUAAAUCAAUCAUUUGUCCUUGUGGAUCCGACAUUAAUCCUCUCAUACCUACUAAUUGGUGUACUUGAGAUGUAUUUCCCCUAGCUCCCGAAAAAGACAUUAUAUGGACUGGAUUAAAGGGUUCCGUCAUCCUAAAAUUCAGGUUCAUUUCUUGUCGCAAAUAUUCACUUGUAGCAUACCAUAUCUCAAUAGAUUGGCGUAAUUUUUCUACCGCGUGUACAUUUCCAUAAUGAUAGUGUUUUUCCAAAAUCAAACUUUGUUGUUCAGCAUCUUGGACUAGCCAUCCCUUAGAAGGUAUUGUUAAAAGAUCAUCAAUUCCUAAUGAAAUGGAUGUAGCGGUGGCUUGCUGGAAACCCAGAGUCUUUACUUGAUCCAGGAUGUGUGAUGUAUAUGCCAUUCCAAAAUGAUCUAUUAAUCUGCUAAUAAGUCGUUUAAUGGCAGUUCCAUCUAUCGCUUUAUUGUGAAAGACCAGAUUGGCCCGUUCGGCCAUAAGUACCUCCAUAUUCCGCUGAGUAGGGUUCGACAAUGGAUUUGAGUCAAUGAUUAGAAACUUCCUUUUCUCGAUCUUGAUUUGCGUAUAAAUUCAGGAACUAUGGUCCUAGUUGAGGCGAAGAGAUUGGAAUUCAUGUCAGUAUCAUAGAAUUACUUAGCUUAGAUCCCUAUGAUUAGAUUAGAUACCAUCUGAGCAGGCUUGGCAAAACCCUUGUAUAGCUUCUUCGAUUUCUCGAUAAAGAGAAAUAUGACCAACAGUAGUUCGAAUGUAUAUACAAAGAAUUUCUUUUUUUAUAUUUCUUACUAUUAGAUAGUGUUCAUAAAUCUCAUGAUAGGUACCCAAAGAUUCAUAGUGAACUUCGAUGGGAGCUUCUCUUGAAGUAAUAGCGCGUUGAUCUAGCUGCCACCGGAGCCACAAAGGACUAUCUAAAUGGAUUCUUUUCUGCCGAUAAGCGCCAAGUGCAUCAUAGGAAUUAGAAAAAAGGGGUUCUUUCGUAUAUUUAUCGUUAUUACCGUCAAUUCUUUUAUUUUGAUAAUUUCUGCGAUUACAUGGAUUAUACCUAUUUGCACAAAUACCUCGACGAUUCCCGCUUGUUAAUACAUAGAGCCCAAUAAGCAUAUCUUGAGUUGGUACGGAAAUGGGAUCUCCAAUAGCUGGAGACAGAAGAUUCAUAUGAGAAAACAUAAGUAAACGAGCCUCCGCUUGAGCCUCCAACGAUAAGGGUACAUGAACAGCCAUUUGAUCCCCAUCAAAGUCUGCAUUGAAUCCCUUACAAACUAAUGGAUGUAAACAAAUAGCGCGGCCUUCCACUAAAAUGGGUUGGAAUGCCUGUAUGCCUAAUCUAUGCAGAGUCGGCGCUCUAUUCAGUAAUACUGGAUGCCCCUGCAUAACUUCGUGAAGUAUUUCCCAUACAAUUGGCUCUUUUUCCCGAAUUUUACUCUUAGCAACUCCUAUGUUCGAAGCAAGAUGUUGUCUAAUUAGACCACGAAUUACAAAUAUCUGGAAAAGCUCUAUUGCUAUUUCGCGAGGCAAUCCACAUCGAUGUAAUGAAAGUGAGGGGCCUACGACAAUGACAGAACGCCCCGAAUAAUCAACCCGUUUGCCAAGCAUAGUCUCACGAAAUCUUCCUUCUUUGCCUUCAAUUACAUCCGAAAACGACUUGUAAACCUUAUUAUGACCGUCCCUCAUUGGUUGUCCGCGGAUUCCAUUAUCAAGAAGUGUAUCCACGGCUUCUUGUACCAAUUUCUCCUGACACAUUACUAAUUCCCCUGGGGUAGAUCUACUUGUUGUUAAUAGAUCAAUAAGAGUAUUGUUCCGAUAGAUAACUCUUCUAUAGAGUUCAUUA
rnacentral:lncRNA from 1 species